CAACCGGGCCCAAGUAACGCCCGCCGUAAAACAGAAUAAACCAAACACCGGUCGUCUGUCAUUCUCAAUUUUUAAUCCUUCUAUUUGUCUUGCAUCAGCAGUUGUACUGUAAAGAAAACAAGUGGACCGAGAAGAGCUGGGUGGGUUUGUGCUUCAGCUUCAGCCUCUGCUCCUGUAAAAGUCGCUCGGGGGAAAGUCUGAGCCGGGGACGACCACGCCCAGUUUGCAUCAGGCCCAGAAUGGAUCAAACAGGGAAAAAAAGAGACAAUGUGGACUUCAUUCAUCCUGGUGACAGCUCUCAGAUAAGAAGUGUGGACGGAGGAAUGGACAAUCAUGUAGUUAUUCAUUCAUGGAAAAGACAUGGGAGUGGAAAGAAUAUAAUCAACUGGUUCCCCUUCAGCUCUUGAAACCUGCACUGUGACCGACCGCCUUAUCUCCGCGGAGUCCUUCCCUUCCCAGCAAGUUUACGGCAAGACGUUUAACGGGAGGCACCCAAUUAAGAGGAAACGUGCGGGUCUUCACGAGAGUCCCACCAACAUCGGUGCUUUGGUCUGGGGCUGAUGUCGGAACGUACACAACGUGAGCAGCAAUCCUCCUUCCUCCGCUCACAUUCGCUGAGGGAAACCAGUAGAAGGCUGCUACUGCAGAUAUAUAUCCCACAGCGGAGAGAACGUGGAACGCUUCCAUAACAUACAAUGUUCAAUCAAAAAAAACAAAAAAAA